AAGACCCCCACCCUGAACUCUUAGAUGUUGUUGUCAAUCAGACCUCCCAGGGAUUCAGACAUGUAGAAGACACUAUGAAAGAAGGAACCACACCCUGGGCAGGAGCCUGAGUCCACAGCCUACCAACCUCAGUGAAGGAACCCACUCCACCAGAUCUCUCUGGAGCAGCUGGGUGAUAGGAACUUGGCUUCAAGCAGACAAAAGGCAAAGCAUAGGAACUGAAAGAUUUCCUAAGUCACUUGUCAUGAGCUUAAAAGAGACAUGAGGCUUGCUUCCCUGAGUCACCUGGGGAAGAGUGAUUCUUUGCAGCAUUAUCUGUUCCAGACAGAAGAAGACCACAGCAAAGGCUCAGGUAAAGUUGAGUAUUGUCAAUUUGACCCAAGUGAGCAGCAGAUACUAUUGAAAGCGCAGAGAUCUAGUAACAGGACUUGGAGGGUUAAUGGAAGGCUUCAAAAAUAAAAAGGUGACCUGGGUUAAGAGUGUGGAUCCUCACACAAGGAAGGUGGGAAUGGGCUCGUGUAAAAUUAUGUGCAAGGUAUACAUACUUAGUGUUAGAGGGAAGAUGGUAGAGGAUGGCUAUUGCUUUCAUAUUUAUUUAUUUAGGAAAGGCAGAUUUACAGACGGAGAGAGAGAUCUUCCAUCUACUGAUUCUCUUUCCAUGUAGUCAUUACUGUGCAAGGCCAUAGCCAGGAUCCAGGAACUCCACCUGGAUUCUGAAGUGGUUCUUGCAAGAAGGAAUUCUUCAACCUACUGUGCCACAAAACUGAUCACAGAGGGUGCUUCUUAGGGAUGAAAGUUAGAUGGUGAGAAAGAGAAAAAGAAUGGUUAUGCAGGGAAUCACACAGGUUGGUUGCUGCCAGAUAAUAGGAAGGUUUGAAUGCCAGGGCUGCUAUUUGCUUUAUCAUAAACCAAUACAGAGUAUUAGGUUCAAUGAAAUAAGCCAGUCACAGAAAAUAAA